rnacentral:rRNA from 1 species
GACGAACGCUGGCGGCGUGCUUAACACAUGCAAGUCGAACGAUGAAGCUAGAGCUUGCUCUGGUGAAUUAGUGGCGAACGGGUGUGUAACACGUGAGUAACCUGCCCCGAACUCUGGGAUAACUGCUGGAAACGGUAGCUAAUACUGGAUACGACCUACGAAGGCAUCUUCUGUAGGUGGAAAGAAUUUCGGUUCGGGAUGGACUCGCGGCCUAUCAGCUUGUUGGUGAGGUAAUGGCUCACCAAGGCGACGACGGGUAGCCGGCCUGAGAGGGUGACCGGCCACACUGGGACUGAGACACGGCCCAGACUCCUACGGGAGGCAGCAGUGGGGAAUAUUGCACAAUGGGCGCAAGCCUGAUGCAGCGACGCCGCGUGAGGGAUGACGGCCUUCGGGUUGUAAACCUCUUUUAGUAGGGAAGAAGCGAAAGUGACGGUACCUGCAGAAAAAGCACCGGCUAACUACGUGCCAGCCGCCGCAGUAA